UACGUAGGGUGCGAGCGUUAAUCGGAAUUACUGGGCGUAAAGCGUGCGCAGGCGGCUUUGCAGGACAGAGGUGAAAUCCCCGGGCUCAACCUGGGAAUGGCAUUGGUGACUGCACGGCUAGAGUGUGUCAGAGGGGGGUAGAAUUCCACGUGUAGCAGUGAAAUGCGUAGAGAUGUGGAGGAAUACCGAUGGCGAAGGCAGCCCCCUGGGAUAACACUGACGCUCAUGCACGAAAGCGUGGGGAGCAAACAGG
rnacentral:rRNA from 1 species